UUUUAUAAAGAUAUAAAAAAGACAAUAUUGAUCUGUCAGAAAAACCAGCGCCAUGUAAACCUGGAUGUGGAUGUGGAAAGAUUGCAGAGAGUCGGCGCUAGGCCCUGGAGUGCGUCAGCUAAUAGAGGCAGACAGACUACUUUUAGGGGCACUAGAUCGAUUAACGCACAUAAAAAGAGAAGGCCCUGAGAUAACUGUGAAACAAACAAUUUUAUUAAUUCAUUAGUGUAAUCAGCGACUUAUUUCGCACAUUUAAUAAAACGGUUUUAUAACAACCAUGAUCGAUGACCGGGCAAAAUAAAAAAAGACCCGAAACAAAAAAUUUUACGUUUAAACUUUGUGUUACAGUUUACAGUGAACUGAAGUUAAUCCGUGCCAGCUUUAUACGCUUUAAUGAAAAAGCGAAUGCGGAGAAGAUUGUUUCAACAAAUCGAACUCAAGACUUCCCACUCGAUGAUAUAAUAAAAAAACUACAAAGCGCAAUACGGCAUGGUCCGAUCGUUUAUGUUGUACAUACAAUAAAUUACGUUCAAGAUACAAUCAAUGGACGUCGGGACGCAGCUGUCAUUAGAAUAGAAGCACGCAAAGCAACGGCGACCUCGGUACGCGCAUAGAUCGUCACUAGAAGGACAGUGAAUUCAGUUGCGGUUAGACGAUGUGCUAAUCAUUCUGGUCGUUUAGCAUGCACAAAAUGCAAUAAAACUGACGUAAAAAAAUUCAA